rnacentral:lncRNA from 1 species
UGUGUUUGCCUCAGGGUUGAGAUCUUUUAAAUGUGCAGUCGGCUUUAACAAUGAUCAUAAAGUUUCUCUACUCAGUUACAUCUCAAGUAUUCCAGUGGCUGAAUGUUAUUUAUAUUUAGAACAUUCUAGAACUUUCUUUCACAUUUCCCAUUCAUUACAGAGUCUGCUGGCUCCUUUAUGUACGGUAUUUCUCCCAUCAGUUUUUACAAGUAGUUCAGAAGAAAAGCUCUAUCACGGUAGCCAGUAUAAAAGACCAUUGCUUGGAAGCCAUCUGCCACUGGCCAGUUCCCACAGAGCAGGGAUAGAGACUAGUUAAAUAUGCAAAUACCUGUGAUUGAACCCUUUGACCCUGUCUCACAUAGUAAGGGGGCAUUGCAAGUAGGUUUCAGGUAAGGAUUUAGAGCCAAGAGAGUACCUAAGAGUCUCCACUUGAGUCCUGUGCAGUCACCAAUGUCCUUCUUAGAGGGAGACACAAAAUUCAGAGUUUCAGAGGGUGGAGUGGCUGCAGAAGCCAAAAUGGAGAAGGAAAUAUUUGAGAAUGGUACACUAUUGACUUUGAAGAUGAAGAAAGGUGACACAAGCCAAGAAGGACAUCAGCCUCCAAGAGUUUCAGAAGUGACAGUCCCAGGACCCACAUGUUGUCCUCUCACUUCUCUAUGUGUGUAGUGAUGUGCCUCUCCUAUGAAAUAACAAAUUAAAAUGUAAUAAGGAUACCUCAACUAUCUACAGUGCUCUCUCAGACAUGGUCCCUCUGAGAACUGUGGUAACGUUUCCCCUGCACUGGCCCUUGUCUGUCCCUUGUGAGUCCUGUGGUGAGUCACAGCCACAGGUUAGCCCACUUGCACUGCACCAGGCCCUCAGGUGAGGAUUUGCCAGCUGACAGUUGCCCCAUGCUGGUGAGCAUGGUCAGCUGAAAUCCGAACCCACACCAUACACAGAGUAAUGCAGUUCUCAGGAAAUGGAUGAUUUAUUUAUUUUCAGCCUAAAGUUUAAACACUUUAAUGUACCUCCCAAGAUGUUUACCUGGCUCAGAAAAGUGCAAGGAACCCACAGAGCACUCAAGAGCCAACUGCCUCUGGGACCCACCUGCAGGGAGCUAGCCUCCUGCAGGGAGCCAGCCUGCUCCCCCCAGUGCUGAAGGAAUGACAGAGAAAAUGAAAGCUAGGGAAAAUGGCAUCAGAAUUAUCCUUGGGGAUGGCUUUGGGGCGGUUACCCCAGAUGCCGGUGGGUGAGUGCGAAGGGCAGGUGCUUACACUUGCUGGGGAUGGGGAAAAGGAAAACCCGGUUCAAAUUUGCUAAAGUGUUGGCGGCACACGCUGUCUGAGGCUUUGUUUUAGUAAGAGUCACUAGUCAUAAAUAAAUAGGUUACUGCUGGAAAAUCAGUGCCUUCUUUAUUUGUUUAAGUGUUGAUGUUUUCAAGGUUGGGUUGGAAAGUCUGAUAUCACUUCCUGCUGCUGCAAGAUUCUCUUCCUGAGUCCAUUCCACUCUCUUACCUGGGUCUCACCCACUAACAUUCACCUGGCAGAUUUGCUAGUAGCAGGUCUGGGGCUCACUCACUGGUCACAAGUGUAUUGUCUACAUGCAGGAUGCCCAUUAGCCAAAUCACAGACUGCUGUGAGACUCGAGACUUGAAGUCCAGAUGCAUCUCUGCAUUCGUGUGUGUGUGUGUGUGUGUGUGUGUGUGUGUGUGUGUGUGUGCACCUUGCUUAGGUGUGAGGACCUAUGCUGUGAUGGGGGUCAUCACUGUGGAGGCAGAAAUGCUUUUUUAAAAUCAGUUUCCCUAGACAGUAAGAGAGCUCAGCCAUGCCUCCCUUGUCCCCCUGUCCUUCAUGAGUGAGAUUCUUUGACUCCUUUGUACCUCCAGGCCCUCAAGCUGGUCCAUCUUAGUCUAGUGCCUUACUGGGCUUGCUCAUGGCUUGGUUUCAUUCUCAGGAAAUCAGGCAGAGAGAAAAAGCAACUAGAUACAAUUUUUUCAUCCUGAAUUGAGACGACAAAAUGUGUAUCCGUUCUGGUAAUAGACAUAUGCACCGCCAUGCCCUUUGUGCACACGGUGGCCGGUACAUUCCAGACUGUCUGCUUCUUCGUAAGCGCCUUUUGUUUGUUUGUAGGUGUGGAGGCAUCAACCCAGGUUCCGGUUUCGAGACCUGCAUUUCCUGUUGCCUCUCAUGCUGUUGGUGUGGCUUUGUCGUGGCUUAGCAGUGAGCCUGUCUGACCUGCGCCACUUCUCUUGGCCCUCACUACUCCUGCUUUUAGGUCCCUGUGUUUCAGGCUUGCAUCCUUGACAUUCUUGUGGGGCUUCUUUCCCCAUCCCUUACCUUUAUAUCUCAUAAGUUGCUGCGUCUUUAACCAUUUCCUGAUCUCACCCUCCACCCCAUCCCGUGCCUUCCUCUUUUAAAAUCUCUGUGUGUAUGUGUCCCUGUGUGCUUGUGUGUGCCCAUGUAUGUGUCCAUGCCUGUGUGCAUGCCUGGAUACUGUGAAUGUAGCUGCAGACAGAUCAGGGCACUUGUGAGCUCAGAGGUUAAUCGUGGUGCAGGGCUUCAUCUUCCAUCUUGUUUCUCACUGCUUAUGCCAGGCUAGCUAGCUUUCGGGGACUCUUCUGUCUCUGUCCUCACAUGUCCUGGUAGGAGUGCUCGAAUUAUAGACAUGCUGCCCAGCUUCUGUCUUGCUUUUUCACCUGCCAUGACACUCGAAUAAUUGCUAUUACUUAGCUGGUUACCCGCUUCGAGUCAAUCACCCUGAGAUGUUGGUCUUCAUCCCCAACUUGACUAGAUUUAGAAUCACGUAGGAGGUACACAUCUAAGCACAUCUGUGGUGUUUUCAGAUAAAUUCAACUGUGUAAGGAAGAUCCAGUUACAUGUGGGCAACGGCAGCCAAUGGGCUGGGGCCUGAGAAUCAGCAUUCAUCCGUUUCUUGACUGUGUGACAGCCUGAAUCCAACCUCAGUGUGCCUCUGUCAGAUUAACAGGAUAGCUGGAAGUCCCGCUGGCCAUCGGACACUCGUUCAUUAGGUGCUAACUAUGUGUCAGGCACUGGGUACUGGGAUGCGAUGGUGAACAAGACAGCCACAGACCAGCUCUCCUUGGAAACUGAGCUCAGAGGUGGAAACCAACCUAAAUAAACGGUAAUUAGGUGCUACUAGGGGAGGCUGCAUGGGGUGUUAGGCUAGGACCAUAGAAAAGGGCCAUCUGACCUGGGCUAAAAGCUUUCCUGAUGCUCUGCUAUUCAAAAGUGUCUGUGGGAGAGAACCAAGAGAGGAAUGGGUUUUCAGGCCCCGGGAACAGCAGUUUAAAUGCCCCAGAACAGGAAAUACCAGGCAUGGAAAGGGGGCCAAGGUGCUGUAGACACUAACAAGAAACAAGGGUGGCUAGGGUCAUAUGUAAUGGCAGACCUAGAGGUAAGAGAACCGAUGAAGAAUGGACAAACAAGAGAGGGCAGGGGGACAAGUGGGGAGAUACCUAGAGUGCACAGAGAGGAGAAGACAGAGCUCCGAGGUGAGAGGACGCAGAGGAGCAAAGGAAAGAGUAGGCACCCACUCCUGCCCUUUCCCAGGAGGGCACUAUGCAGUGUGAGUUCACACAUCGAAGCUAAGUGUCACACCUUUUUCUGGAUGCUAGUGUGGAAAGACAAGUAAGUGUGCAUGCGAAGCCUGCCUAGCACCUGGAGGUCCGACCUCACCCCUACCCUGCUCCUGCUCACACUCCUGCUCACACACUGUGUGACCUGCAGGGGACUUGAGGCCUUUUGUUUUUCAUUUCCUGAAUCAUAUAGUGGAGUUGGUAAGGCCCCAUCGAGGGUUCCAGGAAGACCCUUUUAAACAGGAUUCUAGACAUCCCCUGAAGAACGACUGUUAACUAUCCUCUUCUUGACGAUGUCCGUGCAUGCAUGGAAAUGCUAAGAGAGAGAAGAAGGUCUGUCAGCAGCUGGAGGGAGUCGUUGCAGACCAGGUCUAGCGAGGUGGAUGGACGAGCCCUGUGAGCGGGGAAGAGGGCAGCCAGCGCUCAUUGGAUUAAGAGUGUAGAAAAGCAAACGUGUUCGAAUCUUAAACACAUCAUAAUUUUAAGCAUCCACAAGUGUUUAAAAAGUGUUAGCUGCUAUGAGCACAUACAUCCAUUUACUAGUUAAACAUCAUAACCUGUUUCUUUUCUAAACACAUGGGCAGGAGAACAGAACACGGGUAACAUGUUAAACACACUGACAUGUUUACAAUGUGUUGCAAGAAGGUGUUUAACUUUUUGUGCUCCAAAGCUAAACACUUUGGAAUUAGAGGGUUGGCUAAUUCCACCUCCAUUUAGCUCAUACCGACUGGUCCCCUCGGCUUUGGACUGAGCACCUUUGAGGAGUGGCCCAACCCUGCAGAAGUAGGCGAUCCCCGUGAUGGCCUUCCACAGGAGCAGGCAGAAAGACUCAUUGCAGAACCCCAGGGACCACGCAGUGUGGUUCAGAAAGCACAUCUUAAGAAGACUUGGUCCUCAACCUGUGACUCGCUGCACCCCAUUCUUUUGUCGGGUGAGUGAGAGCAGUUUCUGCUCUCUAGUGUUAGCUCCUGUCUGCUGGUAGGGCUUUUGCAGAGGCCUCAGACAUGCGGACAUGAGGACAUGCAGACAUGCGGACAUGCGGAUAUAUGGACAUACACCAGUUCAGUUUUGGUGUCUCCUCCAUACACACACAGACCUUGACAAGGAAAUAGGACCCCAGAAACUACCAGGAAACAAGACUAAAACAAACUCUGUGUGUGUGUGUGUGUGUGUGUGUGUGUGUGUGUGUGUGUGUGUGUAGCGGAAGGGGUAUCCAGUGAAUCUUCUCUCCUAUGGUUUCUGUAAUAAGUUAUAUUUGGUGCCUCACAAAUGGCUUUCUUCUACUUUUGUGAG